rnacentral:tRNA from 1 species
GGUAAAAUGGCUGAGGAUUAGGCGAUAAACUGUAAAUUUAGUUAGGAAAUAAUUAUUUCUGUUACCA